AAACAACUCUCAGCAACGGAUAUCUUGGCUCUUGCAACGAUGAAGAACGCAGCGAAAUGCGAUACGUAGUGUGAAUUGCAGAAUUCCGCGAAUCAUUGAGUCUUUGAACGCAAGUUGCGCCCGAGGCUUGUCCAAGGGCAUCUCUGCCAGAGCGUCACC
rnacentral:rRNA from 1 species